rnacentral:rRNA from 1 species
AGUGGGGGAUAUUGCGCAAUGGGGGAAACCCUGACGCAGCGACGCCGCGUGAAGGAUGAAGGUUUUCGGAUCGUAAACUUCUUUGACCGGGGACGAAGAAAUGACGGUACCCGGGGAACAAGCCACGGCUAACUACGUGCCAGCAGCCGCGGUAAUACGUAGGUGGCGAGCGUUGUCCGGAUUUACUGGGUGUAAAGGGCGCGUAGGCGGGGCGGCAAGUCCGAUGUGAAAUCCCGCGGCUCAACCGUGGAACCGCAUCGGAAACUGUCGUCCUUGAGUAUCGGAGGGGAAAGCGGAAUUCCUAGUGUAGCGGUGAAAUGCGUAGAUAUUAGGAGGAACACCGGUGGCGAAGGCGGCUUUCUGGCCGAAAACUGACGCUGAGGCGCGAAAGCGUGGGGAGCAAACAGGAUUAGAUACCCUGGUAGUCCACGCCGUAAACGAUGGAUACUAGGUGUGGGAGGUAUCGACCCCUUCCGUGCCGUCGUAAACACAUUAAGUAUCCCACCUGGGGAGUACGGCCGCAAGGCUGAAACUCAAAGGAAUUGACGGGGGCCCGCACAAGCAGUGGAGUAUGUGGUUUAAUUCGAAACAACGCGAAGAACCUUACCGGGGCUUGACAUCCCGCGCUAUUCCGGGAAACCGGGAGUUCCCUUUUCGGGACGCGGAGACAGGUGGUGCAUGGUUGUCGUCAGCUCGUGUCGUGAGAUGUUGGGUUAAGUCCCGCAACGAGCGCAACCCUUGUCGUCAGUUGCCAUCAUUAAGUUGGGCACUCUGACGAGACUGCCGGUGACAAAUCGGAGGAAGGUGGGGAUGACGUCAAAUCAUCAUGCCCUUUAUGUUCCGGGCUACACACGUACUACAAUGGCUGUUACAACGGGAAGCGAAGCCGCGAGGCGGAGCGAAUCCUACAAAAGCAGCCCCAGUUCGGAUUGCAGGCUGCAACUCGCCUGCAUGAAGUCGGAAUUGCUAGUAAUGGCAGGUCAGCAUACUGCCGUGAAUACGUUCCCGGGCCUUGUACACACCGCCCGUCACACCAUGAGAGUUCGCAACACCCGAAGUCUGUGAGCCAACCCGCGAGGGAGGCAGCAGCCGAAGGCGGGGCGAAUGAUUGGGGUG